rnacentral:rRNA from 1 species
UACGUAGGGUGCGAGCGUUGUCCGGAAUUAUUGGGCGUAAAGAGCUCGUAGGCGGUGUGUCGCGUCGGCCGUGAAAACCUGCAGCUUAACUGUGGGCGUGCGGUCGAUACGGGCAUCACUGGAGUUCAGCAGGGGAGACUGGAAUUCCUGGUGUAGCGGUGAAAUGCGCAGAUAUCAGGAGGAACACCGGUGGCGAAGGCGGGUCUCUGGGCCGAUACUGACGCUGAGGAGCGAAAGCGUGGGGAGCGAACAGG